UAUGGGUUGGUCUGCGUCCUCCUGCUGCUGCUGCACCUUAACAACACAGGGACGAUACCAAACACACACAGAACCUACGACUGUGGGCGUCUUCACAACGCUGGUCACUGCUAGAAAAGUGCAUAACGGUAUCCGUAAGGUAAAGUCUGUCAUGAGUUAAAGGGCAGUUUUGGCAGCAGCUCAGAACCAUAUGUUAGCUAAAUGAAGUUUGACACGCUAACGUCAGGUUUAGCUAUUUUCAUGGAGCUAGCUUCAAUGCUGGCUACAAGUGCUGCCUGCCACUAGCAGCUAGGUUAAGUCAACGCCAGCUGGUGAGAGCCGCUAGCCUUUUGAAGUUGUUCAUUAAAUUAUUGCUUCCAGCCGGCUAACGGCGUUAGCUAGCGUUACAUCUUUAGCCUGAGAUGCCAACCGGUUUUUAGCAAGGUAACGUUUGCAGAGUGUGGGUGUCCCCACUCAGUCUGUUUAGGGAAUGACAAGCUGAAGCAAGUGGCUUUCACUCAUUAAUUAGCCAUUUCAGCUAGCAAUGCGUACUACAUUAUUUCAGAAUAACGUUAGCUCGCCGGCGUCGGAUUACUGUACUCUGUGGUACAACUGUGCCCUGGCCAACGGCGUCACUCGUAGCAUUUCGCAUAAUGAGUGAUCAUUAUGUUAAGGUCAAGGUUCAACUCGAACAAAUGAAAUCAUUCGGCGAAGAUGCAGAGAAAGAGGGUGUGGAUACUGAGGAGCAGCUGCCAGUGUCUUCACCUCCUGCCUCUGUUUCACCAGACCCUUCAAGCACUACUAUAGCUGGCAGAGAUGCAUCCAACAUCUCCAUCACUUGUAAACAUAGAGGUAAAAGUCGUACUAAGCAGGGGAAAGAUGACAAGAACUCCUGUGGCAAAGACAUCUCAGAUCUGUCACUGCACGGGUCUGUAGUUUCUGCUCACGAUGGGAAGAACUUGAAUAGACUGGGGCAUGAGCGGACACUUCACAUCAGAGGAACUGGAAAGAUACUGCAGGGCAAGUCAGAGACUAAUGGGAACUAUGUGACCAUCCAUGCAUCCAAAAAUGUUCAAGACAUGCGCCGUGAGGAUGGAUUCAAACUUCCAAAGAAGAGAAGACCAGUGACAGUGGACACGUCAAAAGCCAAAACCUCACUGGAGGCACUGAAGUUAAGCAUCAAGCAGCUAAAGUGGAAAGAGUUUCCUCUGGGAAGACGAACGGCCUGUGAUAUCUACUGGCAUGGUGUUUCCUUCCACGAUAAUGAAAAUAUUGUCUCAGGGCAGGUGAACAAGUUCCCAGGAAUGAUUGAAAUGCUGAGGAAGAUAAACCUGAGUCGGGCAGUACGGACUAUGCAGGAGUUGUUCCCAGAGGAGUACGACUUCUAUCCCCGUUCCUGGAUCCUGCCUGAGGAGUAUCAGCAGUUCUCCACGCAGAUUCGCAUGGUGAAGGAGAACGAUGCCACAGUGAAUCCCACCUUCAUUGUCAAGCCAGAUGGGGGCUCCCAGGGCGAUGGCAUCUACCUCAUCCGUGACCCCAGUGACCUAAAGCUCAUGGCGGGUUCACAGGCCAAACAGGGUGUAGUCCAGGAGUAUAUCCAGAAGCCGUUACUCAUUGACAAACUCAAGUUUGAUAUCCGCCUCUACGUGCUGAUAAAGUCUCUGGAGCCAUUGGAGAUCUACAUUGCCAAGGAAGGCUUGACACGUUUUUGCACCGAGCCCUACCAGGAGCCAAGCCAGAAGAAUCUGAGCCAUGUCUUCAUGCACUUGACAAACUACUCCCUCAACGUCCACAGCGGCAACUUUGUCCACUCAGACAGCCAGAGCACAGGCAGCAAGCGCACUCUCUCCAGCGUGCUCUACAGGCUGGCAGCAAAAGGGGUAGACAUCAAGAAGGUGUGGUCGGACAUCAUAGCUCUUGUCAUCAAGACUGUCAUUGCUGUGGUGCCUGAACUUAAAGUCUAUUAUCAGGCUGAUAUACCGCCUGGCAAACCAGGACCCACAUGCUUCCAGAUAUUAGGUUUUGACAUCCUGCUGAUGAAGAACCUGAAGCCAGUUUUACUAGAAGUCAACUCCAACCCCAGUAUGAGAAUAGAGCAUGAACAGGAGGUAGCACCAGGUGUUUUUGAAUAUGUUCCCAGUCCUGUGGAUGAAGACGUCAAAGUGGGUGUAAUCAGGGAUACUCUGCGCCUUAUGGACCCUGGCCACAAGAAACCUUCAACUUCCCAACCAAGGGCUGCUGGGUUCGAACACAGAGAAGAGAUUCCCAUGGAGGCAGAGACACAGGAGAGGAGCCCAGAUGAGGGGGCUCUGCCCUCGCUGUGUCUGAAGCAGGUCUACCCCAAGUACACCAAACAGUUCAACUACCUGCGGCUGGUGGAGCGAAUUGCAGCUCUGUUCAUACGCUUCCUCGGGGUCAAGGGCAACAUGCGUCUGGGCCCCACUGCCUUCCGAACCUUCAUCAGGACCUGUAAACUGAGCAACAGUAACUUCACCAUGGCUUCAGUGGACAUCCUCUACAUAGACAUUACACGUCGCUGGUCAGGAACAACGCCUGAUUCUAGAGAAGCAGGGAUGGGACUGCAAGCAUUUGUGGAAGCCUUUUUCUUCCUGGCAGGUCGCAGGUUCAAAUCCCUGGUGCUGAAGGAGCAGGUAGUGUCACUGCUGGAGCUGUGCGAGGCUCAGCUCGAGUCCCAGUCAGGCGUGGAAGACAGACGCUCGCUGAGCUGCAGCAGGGCGCUGCCACGAGCCGUCAAGACUCAGACGCUGGGCCUCACCAACCCGCAGCUCGGCUCUCCUGCUCCACUGCGACGGGCGGCCAGCCAGGACUAUCGGCUGCAUCAAAAACUCAAGCCUCGCACACUCAGGGCCAAUGUGGAGAACUGAUGAGAGAGGGCUCCAAACUAGUCAUCCAACUCCCAAACACUGCCUUUAGCCUUCUCCACAGGAGCAGGGAAAUUAGGUGUCCAUCUCCCCCUCAGCUGCUCCUGCAAGGGUGGGAUGAUGGGAGCUGAGAGAGGGACUAGCUUGACCCCCCGCUGGCUAACUUACAGGAGGACUGCUCUCAGCCUGAUUGCUUUUUCUUCAGAGGAGGAGGAUGUCUGCAGGGGGUUUGGAGUGGAGAUAGAACAAGGGAUAUGAGGAGGGAGCCUGUUCCACUUGGCCAAAGAAACAAGUGAGCUGCACAGGGAGCAAUUAAACCGCACAGGAGCUUUCUGAUGAGGACCUGCUGGUAAUGAGGUCCACUUUCCCCAUUCGAUCACAUAAGGUAAAAGAAUGCAGUCAUAACAUUUAAGAUUUUCAUACUGUUUUUCUCUUGCUUUAUACAGCUAUUUGAUAGAGACAUUUGGUACAAACUCCCCUCCGUUUUUGUUGGUAAGGCUGUUUCAGGCUUUCUCCUACCCACUGUGGGGAAUAACAAUCAGGCAGUAUGUAGGUCAGGCUCGCUGAGAAGUAGGCACUGCUCAAACCAGUCUUUCACAUCCCUCCAUCAUACCCUCCACUCUGCCUUUGGACCCCAAGUCUGAGCAUAUGUUCUCUCUAGCUGCUUGUCAUCUAUCUAGGCCUGCUUGAGUAUUUAAUGAACAUGUGAUUCAUCUCUCAUGCACUCAAAUUAAGCUUCAUUUACAUUUCAUAAUAACAAAGCUUCCCAGAGAACAAUGCAAGCAGGGCGAUGAGAGACAGACACAAGGGGACGAGAUUUUAAAAUAGCUAAAUAAAACUUUAAUAGGUCUAGUUGCGAAUGUACAUAAAUUGCACAGCCACAUUUUGUCAACACAAAUUCCUCUGUACAUUAUUGUUUUGUCACUGUCGUCAAAGGAAGCAGAAUCCAGCAAAUACUUUAUACUUUCAACAUACUUACAAAAGUAUUUUCUACAAGAUAAUAGAAAACAUACAACAUCUUUUACUUUAUUUAUAGCUUUAUAUUUUGAUUGAGCAUUAGUUGGACUGGCUGAACUGUGUGAAGCGUGAGCUCGUGGUUUUCAGACUGAUAAAACAGAACUGAGGUGGGAAUGUGGAUGGGAUAAAUGAACUGAGAGCUGAAGAGUCAAAUUAGAAACCAAACAUCAGGGUGCGUCUCCUACUUAGUGUAGAAGUACUGAUGUAGCAUAAAUGACUUACAGUAUUGUACACUGCAGUUUAAAGCAAGGCUAUGUAUCUUUCUGUACCACCACCACCACCGCUAAAUGCUAAACUCCUGCUACACUAAACCAUACUACUGUUUUGUCUAAAUGCUAAACCAUAGUUUUCUGCUGAACAGUAGUUUAGCAUUUAGAUAAAAUAUUAAGCUAUUGUAACAGUAGCAAAAGUGAGGAAGCGCCAUUAAGUCAGUGAAAUCAAUGUACCUCAUAAAAAAAAAAAACUAAAAUUUGGAAACAUCAGGCAACUUUAAUCAUCAAGCUACUUGUUAUAAUUGACCAAGUGAUGUUAGCAUCAAGGAACUUUAGCAUAGAAAUUUUCAACUGUUUAGCUAGUGAACAUGCUAAACAAAAAAACAGCAGUUUAGCAUUUAGCUAAACAUUUCGCUACAGUGCUAAGCUACUGUAAAAACAGCACAUCUUGAGUGUCAUGGCAGAGUUGUACUAGAACAGUAAUUUAGCAUUAGGCUAGGCAGUAGUUUAGCAUUUAGCUACAGUGCUAAGCUACUGUAACAGAGAAGACUCAUAAGUAAUGUUCCUUAUACAGCAAAAUGUAACAAAUUUUUUCUAGCUUUACCUGACUUAAACCAGCAAAUACUUGUCAUAACAGUCAGUAACGAAUAAGCCUGUAAUGUUAGCACCAAAUUUACAAAUGUCUGGCUAAUGUAAAUGCUAAACACCACUUUAGCAUUUAGCUACAAUGCUAGCUACUGUGACAAUAGCAUGUGGAGAGAAGUCAGUGGACUGAAUCAAUCUGCCUUAUACAGCAAAAAUUGCCCAAAAUUUGCUAACCUUAGCCACCCAUAGCUAGUGCAUAUCGGACAAAUAAAGCUGUAACCUCAUUUACUUUUACACAUUCAUGUAUUAUACGUAUUAUUACAUGUUCUCGCUUUAAUUUCUGCAAUUGUACAAUACUGUUUUAAGACUGGAUCCCUGUAAGAUAUUAGGAGGAGAAAAGUCCCAUAUGUUGUUUUUUUGCUACCAGAGGAUUCUUUAGUCUGAGGCUAUUUUUAAAAUUAAUUUAAAUAUGAAAAAGCUGUAAAUAGUUCUGUUUAUCAGGUACAACGAUUUGUGAUUGAGCGAUACCAAAAAUCCCUUUCUUCAGUUUUGAACUUUGCCACGUUUUUUUAAACACCUGAAACAGGUGUUAUGCUAAAAAAAAAAAAGCUAAUUAUAAACACCAACCACUGAACGUAAAAGUGCAUAGAGCUAGACUGAUGAGAAAUACAGGAUUGUGCUUGUGGAUCUCAUCGAGACUGGACUCAGCUUGGCCUGAAACCAACUAGACAUUCUCCGUGACUUCCCAGGAGCUGAACUCCUACGUUAUCAGUUUUUUGGCUAGCGAUAUAACACUCUAAACACAUAAACAAUAGCUUUAACAGGGAGAACACUGAAAGGUUAAUUUAAUCAUAUAGUUCUACCCAAUGAGGACAGAUGACCGACUGAGCUAUUUUGUAUUUACAAUAUCCAUAAUGGUACAGCAGAGUUUGAGCACAAGAUACAUUUACAAAAAGCUCUGUUAACAUUAGGUAAAAAUAGUGUGAGCAUUUUAUUUACACUUUCCCAGGCUGUCCAGCCUCUUGAUACACUCAGUUAUAUCUUAUGUUCACUAUAUAUGUCUGCACCAAGCCAUUCAUCAUCAUUACCACCAUCAUCACCACCUUCCAAUUGGCAACUAAAGAAAACAAAAGGUGAUACUGACGCUACCAUUGGCUCUAGAGCAAGGAUGAAGCAUGCAGAGCCUCACACUUGAUGUAUAUAUUCUGUUACAGGUAAGAAAAAUGGAUACAAAAAUAUACAAAAUACAGAUGCUGAGAUGGGAUGGCGCAAUGACAGGAGAGAUUCGAGGGACUGAACCCCACGUUAAGACCAACUGUGAGUCAGCAUCUUCACAUUCAGAAGAAUGGGGGAUGGAAGAGGGUGGAGGUGAGUAAGAAAAAGAGAGAAGAGAAGAAAAGAGGCGAGAGAUGAUGCCACUAGGAUUAAUAGAGUCACAGUUUGGAUGCAGCAUACUUCAUUACCACUGACAAACAAAGCAGUUAAGAGAGAAAAUGUUGUAACUAAGGAGGCCAUUGUAACAAUGGCUCACCAGUCCAGUGUAUAGUAUGAGUUAGUGUGUCUAAACACGUCUCUCAAUAGCUCUUGUGCUACUAGAGAAAGAAGACCACAACCCAAAUCAAAAUCUGGGUUUAACUGAUCUGUGUCUUUAAGAGCAGUGAUGAGCACCGGUUGAAGAACCAACCACUUGAUUGAGCCAAGUUGUGCAAGCGAAGCCAGAGCUGAGACUACUGUACAGACAUUUCUCUCGAAUGUAGUGCAUACUGUAUGUAAAGGGUUAAGCAUCACGGAUAUCUGAAGGAUGACUGAGGGCGACGGUGCUCAUCACUGCUCGCCGUGGUCUCCUCCUCCAGGGCUCUAAAGCAAGCUACACACUACAGUCUUUCAUCGUAGAGAAGAAAAAUAAAACUAGAUCUCACUCCUAAAUAAAGGGCUGCUUUUAUAUUUGAGAUUAUCAAAUAUAGGUUUAUGUGUGUAUAAUCUAUAGAAGAAAAAAGAAAUGCAUACAUCUAUAUUAAAUUUCAUUAAUAUAGUAUCACAUAGAAUUCAUUUACUUUAGUGUUCAUAAUACAUUUAAGUGUGUACAAUUUACUUUUUGUAUCCUUUACAAAUCCACAGUAUAAGUUGUGCCUUUUUUUUGCAGAAAUAGGGGGAGCUGUGGGAUAAAGUUGAGGUGUGUUCCUUACUUAAGGCGUUUCAUGUACCAAUAGCUUUUCACAAAGUGCACUACAUGGGGGUGGGGGGGUGGUUGGGGGGUUGGGGGACGCAAGGUCAGCGGGACACUCAGGAACACACCCAAGGAGUGAGAGGGGGGAAAUAAAGAUUGUUUUAGACUAAAAAUAUCUAUUUUAGCUCCUAUUUGGUUCUUUAUAAACAGUGACUUUAAAAUAAAGCACUCUUAAGAAAACUAAAGUGAUAAUCCUCAAUGCGUGUUAUUGUUUAUAAGUGCGUCCACUUUGUUCAUCAAGAGGGAGUAGAAUAAAGACAGAGCGGAGGAGAGGAGGGUUGUUAGGGCGACCGUGUCUAGCGGUCAUCACUGUGUGUGGUUAUAUAGUGGUUCGUCCCAGGCAUAGGCAGGGUUUGAAUUGUCCCAGCGACUGCACACAUCCACUGGCAAAGUGUCUGACUGAUGGACAGCGUUGAGUUUUGUAUGUACAAGCUUCUGCCUCCGCCUCCACUGGCCGUCCUCGCCCUCGUAACGAAGGCCGUCUGGUGAUCUUGUUUUUCUUGGGUGACCCGUCCAUCAUGCUGCAGUCCCGCCUUUUCUGGCUGGGCCCCCUCAGAGCGAUGUCCUUACUCCGACACUGUGUCCAAAAAGUGGAAAUGUCCUCUAAAA